AACGAACGCUGGCGGCAUGCCUAACACAUGCAAGUCGAACGAUGCUUUCGGGCAUAGUGGCGCACGGGUGCGUAACGCGUGGGAAUCUGCCCUUGGGUUCGGAAUAACAGUGAGAAAUUGCUGCUAAUACCAGAUGAUGUCUUCGGACCAAAGAUUUAUCGCCCAGGGAUGAGCCCGCGUAGGAUUAGCUAGUUGGUGGGGUAAUGGCCUACCAAGGCGACGAUCCUUAGCUGGUCUGAGAGGAUGAUCAGCCACACUGGGACUGAGACACGGCCCAGACUCCUACGGGAGGCAGCAGUGGGGAAUAUUGGACAAUGGGCGCAAGCCUGAUCCAGCAAUGCCGCGUGAGUGAUGAAGGCCUUAGGGUUGUAAAGCUCUUUUACCCGGGAUGAUAAUGACAGUACCGGGAGAAUAAGCUCCGGCUAACUCCGUG
rnacentral:rRNA from 1 species